GAUUCGGCGGCCCCGCCCCGCCACGUCUGAGUCGGCAGCCCGCGCAGGGUCCGACCCAGCCGAGGGCUCCUGAGCCCUGGGCGCCGGAGCCAGGAGCUGCGCGCGCUGCCACCUCCCGCGACGUGUCGUUACUGGGCCCGGAACAGGGAACCUGCGUGGCCUGUGCAAACCCUGCCCCUUUAAAAGUGAAACCUACUCCCUGGCCUGGCGCCGGGUCGCGAUCCGACCCCAUUGCUUUACUGAGUGGCUUGCGUGAGUUUCUGGCUCCCACCUGUCUGCGCAGGAGAGACUCGAGGGGAUGCAGAGACAGACAAGAGCGUGAAGCUUCAAAGUGAAUUUCCACAAGUGGAAACGAAGUGCCUCUGAUAAAUAAGACAGAUGGGACUGAUGGCAGGCUGUGAAAGCCAGGCUCGCCACACCUGCCUGCGACAGAGCCCGUCCAGUGAGGCAGAAGCAGCUGGGGAGAGCGGGCAUCGCCAGCUGCGGAACUCCCAGCACAGGCAGAACCAGGUCCCCACAGGAGAAGGUAGAGAGGUGGGGAAAGAAGAAAUCCUCUGAAAAAAAUGGCCAGAAUUUCCCCAAAGGUGAUGAUUGAAAAACAAACCGACAACCAAGAAAGGCUGACCAGACCUGAGUGCAGAAGAAGUCAAGUAACAUCAGUAUCAGGAUGCGGAGAACCAGCCCAGCGGAGAGCGCAAAAGCAGCUCUGAGGAGAGGUGCCUUUCGUGCAGACUGGCAAAAGAUGCUCCUGCAAAUAACCCGGGCAAGGAGACGCCUGCAUCUUCAGCACCCAGAAAAGAAACCUGCCAAGCCAGCGUGCCUGGCCAGCAAAGAUGCCUUUUAAAAACAAAGGUGAAGCCAGGACUUUUUCAGACAUCUGAAGCUGAAAGAAUCCAUCCCCAGCAGAUCUGCAGCAAGGAAGGCUAAAGACGUCCUUCAGGAGAAGAAGGUAAUGCCAGAUGGCACCUGAAUCUGCACGACUUGAGGAGGCCUGGAAACAGAGACUACACCAGUCCUGGAGAGCAUGGCCUGAUUGAGUCUCUGUAGAGACAGCUGUUUAACGCAAAAGUAACACGGGCAUUGAGGGGCUUAAGCCACAUGAAAACCUCCAACAUAGACUAAAAGCAGAAAGAGGCUGGGAAGAGAUAGAGAAGAAGUGCCUGUGAGGCUAGGAACACCACGACCCUCGACCACCGCACAUGGGUAUGCUGCAGGAGGCCAGGCGUGGGGGUGCAGGCCUGUGGUCCAGCUGCUCGGCAGGCUGAGGCAGGAGGGUGGGUUAUCCAGGAAUUGAGGCCAGCCACACAGUGAGACCCUAUCUCAAAAACAAAAGCUGUUUUAUACCCUAAAGCAUUAAAAUAACAAAGAAUUUCAGCUAAUGGGGCAAGAAAGGAAACAAAGUAAUUAAAACAUUAAUCCAAAAGAAGGCAGGAAAAGAGGGAGAAAGAACCAAUGAAUAAUCAGGAUAAAAGACAGCAAGGUGAGAAAACUGUUAGGCGCACAUACAUUCAGGGUAAACGUGAAUAGUCUAAACAUUCAAAUUAAAAGGUGGAGGUUGUCAGAUUGGGUACAAAAGCAAGACACAGACAGAUGCUGCCUAGAAAAAACACACUACAAUACAAAAUAGGUAAGAUGAAAGUGGGUGGAAAGAUAUACCAUGUUAACACCAGGCAGAAGAAAUCGAGGGCAGCCAGAGAAGAGAGCAUUUGCAGAGACGGUAGGCAAACACCACAGAAGAGAAACUGGUAGGACUGAGCAGAGUACUGGACAGUACCCUUGCAGUACCUGAUCAGCAGGUGGACAGGAUGGGGACAUAGAAGAAACAAGCAACAGCUGAGCUCCUUGGCCACCACCAUUUUCUGGGCACAGCCUCAGUAUAUUUAAAAUGAUUUGAGUCAUUCCACGCGUGUUCUGUGGCCCCAGUGAAAUUCUGUUAGAAAUCAGCACAGAAGGGCCGGGUGUGGCUCAUGGCAGAGUGCUGGCCCAGCACACCUGAGGCCCCGGUCCCUUGCUGAAAAACCAAAUCAGACCAAAGUGGAAGGAAAGGAUAACAUACCAAAAACUGAGGGCAGUGCUCCAUGUAGUGAGUGGAUGCUCACAGCACUCAGUGUGGAGUGUAAAAAAGACAGGCUCCAAACCAGUGGCUUAGCUCCAUCCCAAGACAAGAGGACCAUGGGAGCAAAUGGCACAGCCACCGAGCAGGAGCCGGGAGCCCAUAAAGUUGUGGUCAAGGUCAACAAAGCAGAGAGCAGAGAAGCUUUGGAGAAAUCAGUGAUAGCAAAACUGACUCUUUGGAAAGAUGAUAAAACUGACAGAUCUCUUACAAUCAAGAGCAGCCAAAGCAGAGAGAAUUUCCAGAGAGGAGCAGGCAAUGACCCUGAUUUGUAAAUGCCAAGGCCAACUGUGCAGAGAACGCCAUGGAAUCAAACCUGGAAUGAAAAGGAACAAGACGGAUUCACACUGGAACCCAAGAGGCAGCAUUCCCAGAGUCUGGACACACAGAGGGUGAUACAGAUGUGCAUACCAUAGCCAACAGCUGUGGCAACUAGAAGAAAUGCCACCCAUCCUGGAAGACAGGAAGACCAGAGCGCACUCAGAAGCUCCAGAGCCGGAACAGCCGCAUAGCUAUUAAAUAUUCUGAACUUUUGCUUGAAGAAAGCAGGAAGCCCAGCCAACUCUACUGAGAGCCCAGCAAACACUCAAGGAGCCAACAGCAGCUCAGCAAAGGAAGAGCAGGGCCACUGCUGGCUCCUGGGCAGCAGUGCAGACGCCAAACCCAAUGACAACAGAAUGACAUCUGUCAUGAACCGGUGCAUGCAAUGUUUUAUUGCAAUUAGUCAAAUGCAACAAUAUGAAAAGGAACACUGCAUGGUGAUGGGGGGGGGGGGGCGCGGGUGUCCAGGGCUGUAGCAUUGGCUUAAUUAUGAAAACCCACUAGCACCGCUGGCCACAUCGACGGACAGGAAGGUUGGAACAGGGAUCUCAGUGUUACAGUAAGGAAUAAAAAGACACAACACUUCCUCAACCUGGAAAAAGGUAUCUGCCAGAAAGAAGAUUAAAAAUACAUCCAACAUCA